CUUCAUCCCAAAGUCAUGAUGUCUGAUAAGAUAAGCCUGCUUAAGGCAUCCAAUCCUCUUGUGGAAUCCUUUGGUCAGUGAAAAAGAUCGGAAGAAUUAAAGGCAGAAAUUGGAAGAAAAACAAAAGAUCCAUUUUUGAAGCACUAACUCUUUCAAUGGAUUGAAUGAAGUACUUUUGGUCUACCUAUACUACAAAGAGAAACUGAGACUAAGUUCACCAUAUUACUCUGGGAGACCAGUUAUGAUUUCAA